AAUCCCCUGCGGUGUUCGCGUCGGCCGUCGAUUCCUUGAACCAAUGUCAUGCGACAUGGUUGCGAACCGCUACGAUUGCCGUUGUGCGCAUCCCAAAGCCGGAUGCGCCUGAAGCAUCAGGUACAGCGACCACCUGAACCCUAGGUUCAGGAUGCCCGGUCGGGUCGGCAUCGCGGGGGACCU
rnacentral:other from 1 species